CUAAUACAUGCAAGUCGAGCGGACCGACGGGAGCUUGCUCCCUUAGGUCAGCGGCGGACGGGUGAGUAACACGUGGGUAACCUGCCUGUAAGACUGGGAUAACUCCGGGAAACCGGGGCUAAUACCGGAUGCUUGAUUGAACCGCAUGGUUCAAUCAUAAAAGGUGGCUUUUAGCUACCACUUGCAGAUGGACCCGCGGCGCAUUAGCUAGUUGGUGAGGUAACGGCUCACCAAGGCGACGAUGCGUAGCCGACCUGAGAGGGUGAUCGGCCACACUGGGACUGAGACACGGCCCAGACUCCUACGGGAGGCAGCAGUAGGGAAUCUUCCGCAAUGGACGAAAGUCUGACGGAGCAACGCCGCGUGAGUGAUGAAGGUUUUCGGAUCGUAAAACUCUGUUGUUAGGGAAGAACAAGUACCGUUCGAAUAGGGCGGUACCUUGACGGUACCUAACCAGAAAGCCACGGCUAACUACGUGCCAGCAGCCGCGGUAAUACGUAGGUGGCAAGCGUUGUCCGGAAUUAUUGGGCGUAAAGCGCGCGCAGGCGGUUUCUUAAGUCUGAUGUGAAAGCCCCCGGCUCAACCGGGGAGGGUCAUUGGAAACUGGGGAACUUGAGUGCAGAAGAGGAGAGUGGAAUUCCACGUGUAGCGGUGAAAUGGCGUAGAGAUGUGGAGGAACACC
rnacentral:rRNA from 1 species